rnacentral:rRNA from 1 species
UGUGUAGCGGGGGAUAACGUUCGGUAAACGAACGCUAAUACCGCAUACGUCCUACGGGAGAAAGCAGGGGACCUUCGGGCCUUGCGCUAUCAGAUGAGCCUAGGUCGGAUUAGCUAGUUGGUGAGGUAAUGGCUCACCAAGGCGACGAUCCGUAACUGGUCUGAGAGGAUGAUCAGUCACACUGGAACUGAGACACGGUCCAGACUCCUACGGGAGGCAGCAGUGGGGAAUAUUGGACAAUGGGCGAAAGCCUGAUCCACCCUGCCGCGUGUGUGAAA